AAAGAGCUAAAUGAUUAAUAAAGUUAAUGUAGCAAAAUUAUUUUUAAUAAUCAUUUUGAAAUGAAAUGUUAUUCGUUUUUAAAUAUAUCUAGUUUUUUUAGAAAAAAAUUUAAUUUUAAAAUUAUUUUAAUUUAAAAAUUAAUUAAUUAAUUUUUAAAUAUUUAAUUUUUAUAUUUUAGGGGAUAAGCUUUAAAUUAAAUAUUUAUAAAAAUAAUUUUAUAUUUUAAAAAUUUUAUAAUUUAUAUUGUUAAUAAAUUUUAUUUUAUUAUAAAUAAUUUUAAAGUAAAUAAAAUUUAAAUUAUAUUUUUAAUUUUUUAUAAAAAAAUAAUUUUUAAUUGUUAAAAAUUAGAAAUAAUGAUAAAAUUAGUAUAUUCAUAAAUUUAAAUUUAAUUAAAAAUUAUUUUUUUAUAAGUUAUAAUUAAUUAAAAGGAAUUCGGCAAAUAUUUAUAUUCACUUGUUUAACAAAAACAUGUCUUUUUGAUUUUAAUUUAAAGUCUAAUCUGCCCACUGAUUUUAUAAUUAAAGGGCUGCAGUAUUUUGACUGUACAAAGGUAGCAUAAUCAUUAGUCUCUUAAUUGGUGACUUGUAUGAAAGAUUGGAUGAGAUAUAUACUGUCUCUUAAUUAUUAUAUAGAAUUUAAUUUUUUAUUUAAAAAGUUAAAAUAAUUUAAAAAGACGAGAAGACCCUAUAGAGUUUUAUAAAUAAUUUAUAUAAUUAAAUUAUUUAUUUAUAUAAUAUUUUUAUAUUUUUAUUUAUUUUAUUGGGGUGAUAAAAAAAUAAAUUUAACUUUUUUUAUAUAAAAACAUAAAUAAGUGAAUAAAUGAUCCAAUUUUAUUGAUUAUAAGAUUAAAUUACCUUAGGGAUAACAGCGUAAUUUUUUUUUUUAGUUCAAAUAAGAAAAAAAGUUUGCGACCUCGAUGUUGGAUUAAGAUAAAAUUUAAAUGCAAAAGUUUAAAAUUUUUG
rnacentral:rRNA from 1 species